UGGGUUAUGGUCUAAUGGCAUGACGGGAUUUUUUGGAGGUCCACGAUACUUGUUCGAUUCAAGUUAACCCAA
rnacentral:tRNA from 2 species